UACUACUUCUUAUUCUCCAAUUACUGUAGCUAAAAGAACACCAAUGGCGAAGCAACACGUGUUCUGCUUGACCUUUUUUAAUUUUUUUUUUCAACUUGCCAGGUCCAAUACGAUGCCGUUUCUGAUUGUACGUCUGUUUCUCCUCAUCUCUCAUGAGAUGAACAUGAUUUCUUUGGCGUGUGUGCUCUCCCUUUCUACCUGCUCCGCCGAACCAUCCAUCACCUCCUGAUUUCUUGAAUUCUCUUCCACAGCCGUCCUUUUCUCUCCAUCAAUCUGAAACCCUAGCACUGAUUCAGUGUUUUCGUUCCUCUUUCCACAACCCUCAGCGUGCUCCCACAAUUCUCCGGUGAUGGCCAUCACAUCUCCCUGCGUGGAUAUAUGUACUCUGGAGCUCUAUUUUUUUAAAUCAAUGGUUCUGCUGGAGCAACUAAUAAAAUUAUGCAGGAGGGGCAAUGGUAAUUUUGCAGCUAAUUCAAUGGUAAGAUUGCUUUGGUUCUAAUAGGCAAUAGCUGUGUUUUUUCUUUAGCAGGUCUUAAUUUUUAAUGGUCAAAGUUUAUCUGAUAUCUUUCAGAAGCUUUCAUUGCUAUUUAUAUUAAUACUUAAAUUGGUUUGAUUUAGUUGGUGCAUUGUUAUUUGCUUCCUCUAUGAAUUUGUGCAUUCUUUUAGUGUGCAAAUGGUGAACCCCUUGACUGAAUAAGUUGUAGAUAUUUUAUUUCCAUAUUGGGAAUUUGUAUUGCAAAUGGUGGAUUGUUACAUUGAAUAUGACUUGGGUGUCUUUAACUGAUCUCUCUAAUGUAGUAUUUUGCUGGGAUUUUUGCUGAUAUGGACAGUAGGAUAUGGUGAGGGAUGACAAAUUUGAUUCUUAAGGGGGGACAUUUUUUAUGCUGAAGUGAGUGACUCAGUAUAUCAAGAACAGUGGCUUUCUCUUUGUUGGUAAGGUGAUAGAUCAGCAUAGCAAGGUGACUUGGUUAUUGGACAGCAAGGCUUGAGGUCGCUUCUUUUUUAUUCAGGAUUGAUGAUCUUGGUGGUUUUGAUGCUCUAUCAUGAGGACAAAUGCUGCUGUUUUACAAGGAGCUCUAAUGCUCUUUUAAUUCUUCCUGAUUGCAUAAAACUGUACAUUAUUCCUUUCCUUGUCUGUAGCUUUAGCUUUAUAGCUUUUCUCCCUUUUUGUUGUGAGCUUGGCUGGUAUGUUUAACCAUCUAUUGCUCUGAUCUCUUUCUAAUUUGGUCUUGGACUGUUUCUCUAUUAUAUAAAUAUAUUUGGUUCUUAAAAAAAAGAGUAGUUUUUUUUUCAAUUUUUAGUGUCAAAAUUUGGUAACACGGAUCUUCAUACUUGAGUUUUCUUCCCCUCUUUACAAAAGGAAGCACAUAAGCAUCUACAAACAUUGGAUAUCCAAUUAAUUUAGUAACUAAAUACUUAGUGAACUACACAUCAGUGACAAAAUCUCUUAGAUGUAAAGCAUAAGAGAGAGGGAGAAAGAGAAACUGAACAGAAAGUGUGAUUUCAUUAACUGAACUAAUAGAAUGAACAGAUCACUGUAUUUAUACAGUGUAGAACCCUAAUAGAUUCACUAGAUGUUGAUAAAUAUACAUAAUUAACUAUAAUAGACUAACAGAAUAUAGGAGAGUGUGAUCAAGUGCAUCACACUCUAUACUAUGCAUAAUUUUAUCCUGAUUAGAAAGAGAUUCACUAAGUGAUUGUAUCCUGAUUAGAAUAAAGCUUCUCUUUCAAAUGCAUAAUUUUCCAUCAUCAUUAUGAAAUGCAUGUUAUUUCUGAGGUCGAAAAUGUCUUCUUAACUUCUUAUCUUUGCAUUGACUAGGCUCAAACAUUAUGGAGUUCUAUGGAGGCAGACAAGUUAUGAAGUUUGGGUAGUUUUAAAUCACUUAGUGAAUCUCUUUCUCUCUUGCUCAUGUAUGUUUUUCUCAUAUUUUCAGUAAGGGAAAUUUCCUACAUGCUGAAUCCAAUUUUGUUUUUGUUACUCACCACGCAUAUGUGCUUUUAUAAUGGCCAAAGACUCAAAAUGAUAAAAUAGCAGUGCCUCACCUACAAAUUACUUUAGUAUGAGCUAAACUGACAGGCUAACAUAUUCUUGAAGACUAAAAUUUUUACUGCUCAUUAUUUGAAAUUUGGUGGAAAUUUCUCAGCUUCUGACAGAGUGGAAUUAGCUGAAUGUGAUCUAAAAUGCUUAGAAUUGAUAUCUACAUUGUCAAAGCAAUAACAAGCCACUCAUUAAGGGGCCUUAAAUGGAGCAUUGAGAGGCAGCACCCCUGAUGCCUGGCUUGGGAUGGUUCUAUUUUUGGGAUAACCAUGGAAGAACCUUUUGCAUAACUUGGAAGUUAAGUGAAUCACUGAUGAUCAGUUGAAAGUUUUCACUGAAUCCAUGUUACUUACUCAUUAGUCAUACUCUAACUUGAUUACAAUUAUUGUGUAGUUUCUUUACAUUUAUUUUAGUAUUCAAGAUAUGUUUUGCAAAAAAAACAAGCAGUUGCUGACUCACCCGUGCAUGAUGCUAAUCUUCUGAGCUAUGCUAAUGGCACAUGUAGAGGACUGGCACUAGAAGCAAGAAUUCCAACUUAAAAAGUGUGUCGGAGUGGUGGAAGCUUCAGCUCUUGAUAGAGUUGUAGUAUGUCCAUCUCUUUGGUGGUGGAGUCUCAUUCUACCAUUACAUUGUAGCUUCUCAUUUAUAUUUACUUGGAUUUCAGUUCUUAUUAUCCUAUAAAAUUAGUAUGUAUUGUAAUUGCUGCUACUUUAAGUAAAUAAGUUUUGUUUCAAAGUAGCAAAGUAAAUUAAAUAAAUUUGGUUUUAAAGCCAAAGAUAGUAGUUCUUUUUUCAUAUUUCAGAAUCAUGUGUAUACAAUACUCUUAUUGCAUUAUUAGUUCAAAAAAAAAUCAUUUACUAUAAAACUGUUUUAAGCUUAUUCUGUUCUUAUGUGAAACUGGAAUGUUUGGUUUGUUUUCAGUUACUGUGAUAUAAAGACAUCAUGGUUGAACUGUUUGAAAUUUGAAAUGACUAAUUGUUUAUUUAUUGUUGUUCUUGAAGUUAUGUUGUUUAAUGGUUGCAGUAUCUUAGUGGAUGAAUAAGAGUGGUGUGUGCAUAUUACUGAACAUGCAGUGCACUUGGACCUCAUUGGCAAGGUUCAUGGGUUUUCUUCUGCAUAAAGCUAUUUUAACAGCUUGAAGGAACAAGACAAAACUGACAAAACUAUUUUAACUGUUCUCUUGAAUUGCUAUGUUUGGCAGCGCCUAAUUGAUAAGUCCCUCUCCCAUUUUCAGAAAAUGGAGGAGUUGGUCCCCAUGUGCUUUUGAACGAGACAAUUAAUUGGGUGGAGAAAAUAAUGAUGUUUCUGCUAUAUUUGGGGAAAUGGUCAGAUAUAGAUAGUGGAUGUAUAAUAAUAGAAUCAAAAGAGAGAAAAAGCAGAGGCGAUGAGGGUGUAUUGAAUUGGUCUUUAGCCAUGGAGCUGUCAUUUAUGUUUUACUCUUUUAUUUUCCUAUUUUCUGCGAUUGUUGCUUCUGGGCUUUGAGUUAGCUAAGUAGCCUGGUUGCUUUUUCUGCUUUUCCAAUUUGUAUUUGGGUUUAGCACCCGGUGUGCUCCUUAUAUGAAUUGUUUGCCUGCCCAAAAAAAAACUAGCUGAUUAUGGACAAGAGCAGCUAAUGAGACCUAUACUUCCUAAUUAAAUCAGAAGAAAGCGGAAGUUUAGUAUCUGGAAAGUAUUGCAACUUACUAA